GCCUGCGUGGUGUAGUGGCUAAUGCUGUUGUUUUGCAAUUUUUUGGCGCGGGUUCGAAUCCCACGGACGUCA